CCUGAACUUUUUCCUUCAUCUCAAAAAUUCUUCAAUAAAUCCAUAAAAAUUAUGGGAACUUGCCUAGACAUUUCUUAACAAUAUUCUUAAUAAAACACAUGAAAUUCUCAAUUAAAUUGUUAAGAUAAAUGGUAUUAUACUCUAGUGUUUUGUAUUCAUCAAAAUCCAUUAGGGGAUCAACAAUCUCCCCCUUUUUGAUGAUGACAAAACACUGAGUAUAUGUAAAAUUCAAAAUUUAAACAUAUACACAGUAUUUGAUCAGAUAUACAAGUCUAAUGUUUUGAUUAGAGCUAGAUACAAUGUGCAUAAUUCAAAAUAGUCAAUUUUCAGUUCUAUCCUUAUGCAUAAAAUUGAUCUUAAUAGCUCUUGAGCAAUUUUAGCAUAUCAACUGAAUUUGAAUCAAGUUAAAAUGAAAUAUUGAUGCUAAAGAUAAUUGAAGGCUAAGUUCUUUUUGACUCCCCCUUUCUUUUCCAGAAGGGCAAUUAUCUUAAAGCCAAUAUGCUUCAAUUUUAUCUUUUCUAAUUCAACUUUGGAGUAUGAAUUUCGUAUUUUGCAUUCCAUAUUGGUUCUACUCCCCCUUUUUGACAAAACUUGGAGUAAAUGCAACACAUAAAGCAUUAUGAGCAUAUACUCAGAUAUUUCUCCCCCUUUUUGACAACAUCAAAAAGAU
rnacentral:lncRNA from 1 species